rnacentral:rRNA from 1 species
AUUGAACGCUGGCGGCAGGCCUAACACAUGCAAGUCGAACGGUAACAGGAAACAGCUUGCUGUUUCGCUGACGAGCAGCGAACGGGUGAGUAACGCGUGGGGAAUCUGCCUUUGAGCGGGGGACAACAUUUGGAAACGAAUGCUAAUACCGCAUAAAAACUUUAAACACAAGUUUUAAGUUUGAAAGAUGCAAUUGCAUCACUCAAAGAUGAUCCCGCGUUGUAUUAGCUAGUUGGUGAGGUAAAGGCUCACCAAGGCGAUGAUACAUAGCCGACCUGAGAGGGUGAUCGGCCACAUUGGGACUGAGACACGGCCCAAACUCCUACGGGAGGCAGCAGUAGGGAAUCUUCGGCAAUGGACGAAAGUCUGACCGAGCAACGCCGCGUGAGUGAAGAAGGUUUUCGGAUCGUAAAACUCUGUUGGUAGAGAAGAACGUUGGUGAGAGUGGAAAGCUCAUCAAGUGACGGUAACUACCCAGAAAGGGACGGCUAACUACGUG